GACGGGACCGCACAAGCGGUGGAGUGAUGUGGUUUAAUUCGAUGCAACGCGAAAACCUUACCCACCUUUGACAUGGCAGGAAUCCCGAAGAGAUUGGAGUGCUCGAAAGAGAACCUGCACACAGGUGCUGCAUGGCUGUCGUCAGCUCGUGUCGUGAGAUGUUGGGUUAAGUCCCGCAACGAGCGCAACCCUUGCCAUUAGUUGCUACGAAAGGGCACUCUAAUGGGACUGCCGGUGACAAACCGGAGGAAGGUGGGGAUGACGUCAAGUCCUCAUGGCCCUUAUAGGUGGGGCUACACACGUCAUACAAUGGCCGGUACAGGGGGUAGCCAACCCGCGAGGGGGAGCCAAUCCCACAAAGCCGAUCGUAGUCCGGAUCGCAGUCUGCAACUCGACUGCGUGAAGUCGGAAUCGCUAGUAAUCGUGGAUCAGCAUGUCACGGUGAAUACGUUCCCGGGUCUU
rnacentral:rRNA from 1 species